UACGAAGGGGGCUAGCGUUGCUCGGAAUCACUGGGCGUAAAGCGCACGUAGGCGGAUUGCUAAGUCAGGGGUGAAAUCCUGGAGCUCAACUCCAGAACUGCCUUUGAUACUGAGGAGCUUGAGUCCGGGAGAGGUGAGUGGAACUGCGAGUGUAGAGGUGAAAUUCGUAGAUAUUCGGAAGAACACCAGUGGCGAAGGCGGCUCACUGGUCCGGUACUGACGCU
rnacentral:rRNA from 1 species